CAAUAAGUGUUUACGAAUAUCA
rnacentral:miRNA from 15 species